AUAACCAUUGCAUCAUGGGAAUUUUCUGUGACGUCAGACCCCAAAUACAGAGACUUACUGUAUUUUUUAAAACUGCAGUAUACUACUGUGUAUUUGCUGUAACGUUCUCAUUGGCGGCGUUCUAUUGAGGUCGUUUUAUUUCCCUCAUUUAUUAUAUUUGGAUUGACACCAUUUGCCCUACACCAUGUCUACAACGCCGCAACAGCUUGGGACGGACUACACCGGAUGUGUUGCAUCGCUUAUAAUGAUUGGAAAAUCCGUUUGUCCUUCAUGUCAGACACAGCGCGAGUGCUUGAAGUACAUCUGUAAGUCAGAAAUAUACCGGGGCAUUACUACUGUAAGCAUCCACUGUAGAUUGUAUAUUUAAUGUGUUCUAUAUUGUCUUUUGUCGAGUCGCGCUGCCCCGCGCCACUCGUGUCCGAGGAAGACGCUGAAGCAGCGGGCAGCGUCGCUGCGUUUGCCCGGGGAUGAACCCGCGAGAGCGGAAGAGUUCCGGAGAACAUCCGCGCAGUGUGUCGAUGCAAUUUACGAGAGAUUAAGACCAGCAAGUAAGGCAACUGCAAUGAAGCAUCAAGAAAGACAUGAGCAUGCCAACCACUGAUAGUUCAUGAGAAGACAUUUCUGUCACUAACAAAGUGGAUGAUGAGCAAAGGUGGUGGCCACGUUUUAGAGCAGACCUGGGUUUUGCAGAUGGCUGUGUAUUCUUUGGCUGCAUGUCUUUUUCUCCAUUGUUUCUGUUGCCUAUAGAUUAUUUGUGAGGAUACAACAUAAUGCACUGCAAAACAUCCUAAGGCAGAGGAAAUGGUGAAGAUGCACUGUUCCAGCAGUUUAAGACUGUAUUUUUAAGUGUUAUACAUGCAUUGUUUUAAAUAAAGUAUUUGAU